UCAGACGUUUUCAUUUUUUUCGUCGAUUGUCUUUUGUUUUGACAGUUUUAGGUUGAUAAUUUGUGCCCUAUCCUCUUACACGAGUCGCAUUUUUGUUUCCAUCUUUCUAGUUGAGCCCAAUGCUUUCAGGUACGCAGUUACUUCCUUAUACACCUUCAUGCAGAAAAAACUUGUUUCCAGAUAAAAAAUAAGAUCGGAAGAGAGAAAAAAAAAAAUUCAAAGUAACUUCCCGUCUGUUCGGAACAUGAGGAUGCAGUCAUGUCGGCGCCAGACGUAACGGCGCCGAAUCACGCUUCUCUUCCCGCCCAUGCGUACUGUACCUGUUUAUACAAUACCGGUGCACAUAAUACUUGACGUGUUCUACAUUUUGACCAAAAAAAAAAAAAUGGGCUAUCAAGUUAAUAUUUGAUAAUAGUGUACUUUUAGGGCGGUGCCUUAUUUCGCCCUUUUGUUGUUGUUGCGGGCAAGACAACUUUUUUUUAUUUAUAAAAGCGCAAAAGAUCACUGGCUGAUUGCCAGUUUCUGCGAACUUUUCCUUGCACACGUAAUAGUUUUGCAUGAUACCCGUUAUAGAAUGAGGAAUAAAAGUUGAGUCAAGUUGA